UUUUAUUAAACAUGUUGACCCAGGCGACGACCCAUGGCCUAAUGUUUUAAAGAAAAAUGCUGACAAUUCCUUUUGUUCUUCUCUUUUUUCACAUUGUUUCAUAAUGUCGAGGAUUUAUGAUAGCUGGGAGAAGUUAGUCGGAGCUGUUUUGAGGAGAGAGGAAGACCGCCAACUUGCUCUUUGUGAAAGCUUCAGUAGCUCAAGUUCAGCUGAUCUCAGUUCUCGUUUCAGUUUCAGUUUUAAUCCCUUCGUCGGUGAUGUUCAUGUGCCUCCUGGAGUCUCUAAACAGAGGAUUUUCUCUUCCCGUGAUCUGAUGGCCGUAGAUUAUAAAGAGAUAGAAGAGGCUACCAAAAACUUUCAUCCAGACAUGUUGUUGAGCGAAGGAGGAUUUGGUCGUGUACGGGACGUGGAACUGCAGUUGCUUUCAAGAAGAUGAACGACGAAGGAUCUCAAGGAGACGAGGAGUGGAUGCGUGAAAUAAAUUACUUGAGUCGGCUUCGCCACCCAAACUUGGCGAAGCUUAUUGGAUAUGGCUUUGGCACAGACGACAGGAUUGUGGUAUACGAGUUCAUGGCCGGAGGAAGCUUGGACCAUCACUUGUUCACAAGAGGGCAUCAACCUCUCCCUUGGGCAACAAGAAUCAAAGUGGCUAUAGGUGCAGCUAGAGCUCUCGCUUUCCUGCACGGUUA